GGUUAAGCGACUAAGCGUACACGGUGGAUGCCCUGGCAGUCAGAGGCGAUGAAGGACGUGCUAAUCUGCGAUAAGCGUCGGUAAGGUGAUAUGAACCGUUAUAACCGGCGAUUUCCGAAUGGGGAAACCCAGUGUGUUUCGACACACUAUCAUUAACUGAAUCCAUAGGUUAAUGAGGCGAACCGGGGGAACUGAAACAUCUAAGUACCCCGAGGAAAAGAAAUCAACCGAGAUUCCCCCAGUAGCGGCGAGCGAACGGGGAGCAGCCCAGAGCCUGAAUCAGUAUGUGUGUUAGUGGAAGCGUCUGGAAAGGCGCGCGAUACAGGGUGACAGCCCCGUACACAAAAAUGCACAUGCUGUGAGCUCGAUGAGUAGGGCGGGACACGUGGUAUCCUGUCUGAAUAUGGGGGGACCAUCCUCCAAGGCUAAAUACUCCUGACUGACCGAUAGUGAACCAGUACCGUGAGGGAAAGGCGAAAAGAACCCCGGCGAGGGGAGUGAAAAAGAACCUGAAACCGUGUACGUACAAGCAGUGGGAGCACGCUUAGGCGUGUGACUGCGUACCUUUUGUAUAAUGGGUCAGCGACUUAUAUUCUGUAGCAAGGUUAACCGAAUAGGGGAGCCGAAGGGAAACCGAGUCUUAACUGGGCGUUAAGUUGCAGGGUAUAGACCCGAAACCCGGUGAUCUAGCCAUGGGCAGGUUGAAGGUUGGGUAACACUAACUGGAGGACCGAACCGACUAAUGUUGAAAAAUUAGCGGAUGACUUGUGGCUGGGGGUGAAAGGCCAAUCAAACCGGGAGAUAGCUGGUUCUCCCCGAAAGCUAUUUAGGUAGCGCCUCGUGAAUUCAUCUCCGGGGGUAGAGCACUGUUUCGGCAAGGGGGUCAUCCCGACUUACCAACCCGAUGCAAACUGCGAAUACCGGAGAAUGUUAUCACGGGAGACACACGGCGGGUGCUAACGUCCGUCGUGAAGAGGGAAACAACCCAGACCGCCAGCUAAGGUCCCAAAGUCAUGGUUAAGUGGGAAACGAUGUGGGAAGGCCCAGACAGCCAGGAUGUUGGCUUAGAAGCAGCCAUCAUUUAAAGAAAGCGUAAUAGCUCACUGGUCGAGUCGGCCUGCGCGGAAGAUGUAACGGGGCUAAACCAUGCACCGAAGCUGCGGCAGCGACGCUGAUGCG
rnacentral:rRNA from 1 species